rnacentral:rRNA from 1 species
CCGGCGAUGUCCGAAUGGGGAAACCCAGUGCAAUUCGUUGCACUAUCGUUAACUGAAUACAUAGGUUAACGAGGCGAACCGGGGGAACUGAAACAUCUAAGUACCCCGAGGAAAAGAAAUCAACCGAGAUUCCCCCAGUAGCGGCGAGCGAACGGGGAGCAGCCCAGAGUCUGAAUCAGCUUGUGUGUUAGUGGAACGGUCUGGAAAGUCCGACGGUACAGGGUGAUAGUCCCGUACACCAAAAUGCACAGGCUGUGAACUCGAAGAGUAGGGCGGGACACGUGGUAUCCUGUCUGAAUAUGGGGGGACCAUCCUCCAAGGCUAAAUACUCCUGACUGACCGAUAGUGAACCAGUACCGUGAGGGAAAGGCGAAAAGAACCCCGGCGAGGGGAGUGAAAAAGAACCUGAAACCGUGUACGUACAAGCAGUGGGAGCACCUUCGGGUGUGACUGCGUACCUUUUGUAUAAUGGGUCAGCGACUUAUAUUCUGUAGCAAGGUUAACCGUAUAGGGGAGCCGCAGGGAAACCGAGUCUUAACUGGGCGUUAAGUUGCAGGGUAUAGACCCGAAACCCGGUGAUCUAGCCAUGGGCAGGUUGAAGGUUGGGUAACACUAACUGGAGGACCGAACCGACUAAUGUUGAAAAAUUAGCGGAUGACUUGUGGCUGGGGGUGAAAGGCCAAUCAAACCGGGAGAUAGCUGGUUCUCCCCGAAAGCUAUUUAGGUAGCGCCUCGUGAAUUCAUCUUCGGGGGUAGAGCACUGUUUCGGCUAGGGGGUCAUCCCGACUUACCAACCCGAUGCAAACUACGAAUACCGAAGAAUGUUAUCACGGGAGACACACGGCGGGUGCUAACGUCCGUCGUGAAGAGGGAAACAACCCAGACCGCCAGCUAAGGUCCCAAAGUCAUGGUUAAGUGGGAAACGAUGUGGGAAGGCACAGACAGCCAGGAUGUUGGCUUAGAAGCAGCCAUCAUUUAAAGAAAGCGUAAUAGCUCACUGGUCGAGUCGGCCUGCGCGGAAGAUGUAACGGGGCUAAACCAUGCACCGAAGCUGCGGCAGCGACACUAUGUGUUGUUGGGUAGGGGAGCGUUCUGUAAGCCUGCGAAGGUGUGCUGUGAGGCAUGCUGGAGGUAUCAGAAGUGCGAAUGCUGACAUAAGUAACGAUAAAGCGGGUGAAAAGCCCGCUCGCCGGAAGACCAAGGGUUCCUGUCCAACGUUAAUCGGGGCAGGGUGAGUCGACCCCUAAGGCGAGGCCGAAAGGCGUAGUCGAUGGGAAACAGGUUAAUAUUCCUGUACUUGGUGUUACUGCGAAGGGGGGACGGAGAAGGCUAUGUUAGCCGGGCGACGGUUGUCCCGGUUUAAGCAUGUAGGCUGGUUGUCCAGGCAAAUCCGGAUAAUCAAGGCUGAGGUGUGAUGACGAGGCACUACGGUGCUGAAGUAACAAAUGCCCUGCUUCCAGGAAAAGCCUCUAAGCAUCAGGUAACAUUAAAUCGUACCCCAAACCGACACAGGUGGUCAGGUAGAGAAUACCAAGGCGCUUGAGAGAACUCGGGUGAAGGAACUAGGCAAAAUGGUGCCGUAACUUCGGGAGAAGGCACGCUGGUGUGUAGGUGAAGUCCCUGCGGAUGGAGCUGAGACCAGUCGAAGAUACCAGCUGGCUGCAACUGUUUAUUAAAAACACAGCACUGUGCAAACACGAAAGUGGACGUAUACGGUGUGACGCCUGCCCGGUGCCGGAAGGUUAAUUGAUGGGGUUAUCCGUAAGGAGAAGCUCUUGAUCGAAGCCCCGGUAAACGGCGGCCGUAACUAUAACGGUCCUAAGGUAGCGAAAUUCCUUGUCGGGUAAGUUCCGACCUGCACGAAUGGCGUAAUGAUGGCCAGGCUGUCUCCACCCGAGACUCAGUGAAAUUGAACUCGCUGUGAAGAUGCAGUGUACCCGCGGCAAGACGGAAAGACCCCGUGAACCUUUACUAUAGCUUGACACUGAACAUUGAGCCUUGAUGUGUAGGAUAGGUGGGAGGCUUUGAAGCGUGGACGCCAGUCUGCGUGGAGCCAACCUUGAAAUACCACCCUUUAAUGUUUGAUGUUCUAACGUUGGCCCCUUACCGGGGUUGCGGACAGUGUCUGGUGGGUAGUUUGACUGGGGCGGUCUCCUCCCAAAGCGUAACGGAGGAGCACGAAGGUUAGCUAAUCCUGGUCGGACAUCAGGAGGUUAGUGCAAUGGCAUAAGCUAGCUUGACUGCGAGCGUGACGGCGCGAGCAGGUGCGAAAGCAGGUCAUAGUGAUCCGGUGGUUCUGAAUGGAAGGGCCAUCGCUCAACGGAUAAAAGGUACUCCGGGGAUAACAGGCUGAUACCGCCCAAGAGUUCAUAUCGACGGCGGUGUUUGGCACCUCGAUGUCGGCUCAUCACAUCCUGGGGCUGAAGUAGGUCCCAAGGGUAUGGCUGUUCGCCAUUUAAAGUGGUACGCGAGCUGGGUUUAGAACGUCGUGAGACAGUUCGGUCCCUAUCUGCCGUGGGCGCUGGAGAAUUGAGGGGGGCUGCUCCUAGUACGAGAGGACCGGAGUGGACGCAUCACUGGUGUUCGGGUUGUCAUGCCAAUGGCACUGCCCGGUAGCUAAAUGCGGAAGAGAUAAGUGCUGAAAGCAUCUAAGCACGAAACUUGCCCCGAGAUGAGUUCUCCCUGAGACUUUAAGUCUCCUGAAGGAACGUU